UGGGGAAUUUUGGACAAUGGGGGAAACCCUGAUCCAGCCAUCCCGCGUGUGCGAUGAAGGCCUUCGGGUUGUAAAGCACUUUUGGCAGGAAAGAAACGUCAUGGGUUAAUACCCCGUGAAACUGACGGUACCUGCAGAAUAAGCACCGGCUAAAUACGUGCCAGCAGCCGCGGUAAUACGUAGGGUGCAAGCGUUAAUCGGAAUUACUGGGCGUAAAGCGUGCGCAGGCGGUUCGGAAAGAAAGAUGUGAAAUCCCAGAGCUCAACUUUGGAACUUCAUUUUUAACUACCGGGCUAGAGUGUGUCAGAGGGAGGUGGAAUUCCGCGUGUAGCAGUGAAAUGCGUAGAUAUGCGGAGGAACACCGAUGGCGAAGGCAGCCUCCUGGGAUAACACUGACGCUCAUGCACGAAAGCGUGGGGAGCAAACAGG
rnacentral:rRNA from 1 species